rnacentral:rRNA from 1 species
AGGAAGUAAAUUCAAUUAAAACCUAUUUAUACUGGCGGCUUUUCAUCUUAUCAGAGGAAUCUGUUCAAUAAUGGACAUUACACAAUAAUUUUCACUUUAAUUAAAAAUUUAUAUACCGCCAUCUUAAAACUUUAUUAUUAAAAUAUUUUUAUAAUAAAUAAUAACAAGUUAGGUCAAGGUGUAAUCUAUAUUAAUAGAUGAAAUGGAUUACAUUUAAUAUAUUAAAGGAUUUUAAAAACUAAUUUUUAAAUUAAAAAGGAUUUGAAAGCAAUAUCAAUAAUAAUAUUAAUAUAUGAAUAAGAUAACAAAAGUGC